rnacentral:rRNA from 1 species
AGAGUUUGAUUCUGGCUCAGAACGAACGCUGGCGGCGUGGAUAAGACAUGCAAGUCGAGCGAGACAGUUCGGGUAGCAAUAUUCGGAAUGUUUAGCGGCGCAAGGGUGCGUAACACGUGGGUAAUUUGCCUUGAAGUGGGGGAUAACUCCGGGGAAUCGGAGCUAAUACCGCAUGUGGCGAUCGGGAGGCAUCUCUCGAUCUCCAACGUUUGGGACCGUAAGGCCUGACGCUUCAAGAUGAACCCGCGGCCUAUCAGCUAGUUGGUGAGGUAACGGCUCACCAAGGCUAAGACGGGUAGCUGGUCUGAGAGGACGACCAGCCACACUGGAACUGAGACACGGUCCAGACACCUACGGGUGGCAGCAGUCGAGAAUUUUUCACAAUGGGCGAAGGCCUGAUGGAGCGACGCCGCGUGGGGGAUGAAUGGCUUCGGCCCGUAAACCCCUGUCAUUCGGGAUCAAUUCCUGCAGUCUAAUAAAUUGCAGGUUGAUAGUACUGAAAGAGGAAGGGACGGCUAACUCUGUGCCAGCAGCCGCGGUAAUACAGAGGUCCCAAGCGUUGUUCGGAUUUACUGGGCGUAAAGGGUGCGUAGGCGGUCAACUAAGUCUGAUGUGAAAUCUUCGAGCUUAACUCGAAAACUGCAUUGGAUACUAUUUGGCUUGAGGAUGGUAGGGGAGACUGGAAUUCUCGGUGUAGCAGUGAAAUGCGUAGAUAUCGAGAGGAACACCAGUGGCGAAGGCGAGUCUCUGGACCAUUCCUGACGCUGAGGCACGAAAGCCAGGGGAGCAAACGGGAUUAGAUACCCCGGUAGUCCUGGCCCUAAACGGUGCAUGUUUGCUGUGAGAGGAAUCGACCCCUUUCGUGGCGAAGCUAACGCGAUAAACAUGCCGCCUGGGGAGUACGGUCGCAAGAUUAAAACUCAAAGAAAUUGACGGGGGCCUGCACAAGCGGUGGAGUAUGUGGCUCAAUUCGAUACUACGCGAAGAACCUUACCUGGCCUUGACAUGCAGGUGGUAGAAGUGCGAAAGCAUGACGACCCCGCAAGGGGAGCUUGCACAGGUGCUGCAUGGCUGUCGUCAGCUCGUGUCGUGAGAUGUUGGGUUAAGUCCCGCAACGAGCGCAACCCCUGCGUCCUGUUGCUACCGGGUCGAAAGAUCCGAGCACUCUGGACGGACUGCCUCGCUUCAACGAGGAGGAAGGUGGGGAUGACGUCAAGUCAGGAUGGCCCUUAUGGCCAGGGCUGCACACGUACUACAAUGCCCGGCACAAUGGGUUGCAACACGGUAACGUGAAGCCAAUCCCAGAAAACCGGGCCCAGUUCAGAUUGUCGUCUGCAACUCGACGGCAUGAAGUUGGAAUCGCUAGUAAUGGCGCAUCAGCUACGGCGCCGUGAAUACGUUCCCAGGCCUUGUACACACCGCCCGUCACAUCAUGAAAGCCGGCUGUACCCGAAGUCGCUGUGUUAACUUAAUUGAAAUAGGUGCCGAAGGUAUGGCUGGUGAUUGGGAUGAAGUCGAAACAAGGUA